rnacentral:rRNA from 1 species
GGGUUGUGAGGUUAAGCGACUAAGCGUACACGGUGGAUGCCCUGGCAGUCAGAGGCGAUGAAGGACGUGCUAAUCUGCGAUAAGCGUCGGUAAGGUGAUAUGAACCGUUAUAACCGGCGAUUUCCGAAUGGGGAAACCCAGUGUGUUUCGACACACUAUCAUUAACUGAAUCCAUAGGUUAAUGAGGCGAACCGGGGGAACUGAAACAUCUAAGUACCCCGAGGAAAAGAAAUCAACCGAGAUUCCCCCAGUAGCGGCGAGCGAACGGGGAGCAGCCCAGAGCCUGAAUCAGUGUGUGUGUUAGUGGAAGCGUCUGGAAAGGCGCGCGAUACAGGGUGACAGCCCCGUACACAAAAAUGCACAUGCUGUGAGCUCGAUGAGUAGGGCGGGACACGUGGUAUCCUGUCUGAAUAUGGGGGGACCAUCCUCCAAGGCUAAAUACUCCUGACUGACCGAUAGUGAACCAGUACCGUGAGGGAAAGGCGAAAAGAACCCCGGCGAGGGGAGUGAAAAAGAACCUGAAACCGUGUACGUACAAGCAGUGGGAGCACGCUUAGGCGUGUGACUGCGUACCUUUUGUAUAAUGGGUCAGCGACUUAUAUUCUGUAGCAAGGUUAACCGAAUAGGGGAGCCGAAGGGAAACCGAGUCUUAACUGGGCGUUAAGUUGCAGGGUAUAGACCCGAAACCCGGUGAUCUAGCCAUGGGCAGGUUGAAGGUUGGGUAACACUAACUGGAGGACCGAACCGACUAAUGUUGAAAAAUUAGCGGAUGACUUGUGGCUGGGGGUGAAAGGCCAAUCAAACCGGGAGAUAGCUGGUUCUCCCCGAAAGCUAUUUAGGUAGCGCCUCGUGAAUUCAUCUCCGGGGGUAGAGCACUGUUUCGGCAAGGGGGUCAUCCCGACUUACCAACCCGAUGCAAACUGCGAAUACCGGAGAAUGUUAUCACGGGAGACACACGGCGGGUGCUAACGUCCGUCGUGAAGAGGGAAACAACCCAGACCGCCAGCUAAGGUCCCAAAGUCAUGGUUAAGUGGGAAACGAUGUGGGAAGGCCCAGACAGCCAGGAUGUUGGCUUAGAAGCAGCCAUCAUUUAAAGAAAGCGUAAUAGCUCACUGGUCGAGUCGGCCUGCGCGGAAGAUGUAACGGGGCUAAACCAUGCACCGAAGCUGCGGCAGCGACGCUUAUGCGUUGUUGGGUAGGGGAGCGUUCUGUAAGCCUGCGAAGG